AGCCCAGAGCCUGAAUCAGUGUGUGUGUUAGUGGAAGCGUCUGGAAAGGCGCGCGAUACAGGGUGACAGCCCCGUACACAAAAAUGCACAUACUGUGAGCUCGAUGAGUAGGGCGGGACACGUGGUAUCCUGUCUGAAUAUGGGGGGACCAUCCUCCAAGGCUAAAUACUCCUGACUGACCGAUAGUGAACCAGUACCGUGAGGGAAAGGCGAAAAGAACCCCGGCGAGGGGAGUGAAAAAGAACCUGAAACCGUGUACGUACAAGCAGUGGGAGCCUCUUUAUGGGGUGACUGCGUACCUUUUGUAUAAUGGGUCAGCGACUUAUAUUCUGUAGCAAGGUUAACCGAAUAGGGGAGCCGAAGGGAAACCGAGUCUUAACUGGGCGUUAAGUUGCAGGGUAUAGACCCGAAACCCGGUGAUCUAGCCAUGGGCAGGUUGAAGGUUGGGUAACACUAACUGGAGGACCGAACCGACUAAUGUUGAAAAAUUAGCGGAUGACUUGUGGCUGGGGGUGAAAGGCCAAUCAAACCGGGAGAUAGCUGGUUCUCCCCGAAAGCUAUUUAGGUAGCGCCUCGUGAAUUCAUCUCCGGGGGUAGAGCACUGUUUCGGCAAGGGGGUCAUCCCGACUUACCAACCCGAUGCAAACUGCGAAUACCGGAGAAUGUUAUCACGGGAGACACACGGCGGGUGCUAACGUCCGUCGUGAAGAGGGAAACAACCCAGACCGCCAGCUAAGGUCCCAAAGUCAUGGUUAAGUGGGAAACGAUGUGGGAAGGCCCAGACAGCCAGGAUGUUGGCUUAGAAGCAGCCAUCAUUUAAAGAAAGCGUAAUAGCUCACUGGUCGAGUCGGCCUGCGCGGAAGAUGUAACGGGGCUAAACCAUGCACCGAAGCUGCGGCAGCGACACUAUGUGUUGUUGGGUAGGGGAGCGUUCUGUAAGCCUGCGAAGGUGUACUGUGAGGUAUGCUGGAGGUAUCAGAAGUGCGAAUGCUGACAUAAGUAACGAUAAAGCGGGUGAAAAGCCCGCUCGCCGGAAGACCAAGGGUUCCUGUCCAACGUUAAUCGGGGCAGGGUGAGUCGACCCCUAAGGCGAGGCCGAAAGGCGUAGUCGAUGGGAAACAGGUUAAUAUUCCUGUACUUGGUGUUACUGCGAAGGGGGGACGGAGAAGGCUAUGUUGGCCGGGCGACGGUUGUCCCGGUUUAAGCGUGUAGGCUG
rnacentral:rRNA from 1 species